UGGGGAAUAUUGCACAAUGGGGGAAACCCUGAUGCAGCGACGCCGCGUGAACGAAGAAGUAUUUCGGUAUGUAAAGUUCUAUCAGCAGGGAAGAUAAUGACGGUACCUGACUAAGAAGCACCGGCUAAAUACGUGCCAGCAGCCGCGGUAAUACGGAGGAUGCGAGCGUUAUCCGGAUUUAUUGGGUUUAAAGGGUGCGCAGGCGGCGUGCCAAGUCAGCGGUCAAAGUUCCGGGCUCAACCCGGUGAUGCCGUUGAAACUGGUGUGCUUGAGUGCGUGCGAGGGAGGCGGAAUGCGUUGUGUAGCGGUGAAAUGCAUAGAUAUGACGCAGAACUCCGAUUGCGAAGGCAGCUUUCCAGCACGCCACUGACGCUGAGGCACGAAAGCGUGGGGAUCGAACAGGAUUAGAUACCCUGGUAGU
rnacentral:rRNA from 1 species